rnacentral:rRNA from 1 species
AACGAACGCUGGCGGCAGGCUUAACACAUGCAAGUCGAGCGCCCCGCAAGGGGAGCGGCAGACGGGUGAGUAACGCGUGGGAAUCUACCCAUCUCUACGGAAUAACGCAUGGAAACGUGUGCUAAUACCGUAUACGUCCUUCGGGAGAAAGAUUUAUCGGAGAUGGAUGAGCCGGCGUUGGAUUAGCUAGUUGGUGGGGUAAAGGCCUACAAAGGCGACGAUCCAUAGCUGGUCUGAGAGGAUGAUCAGCCACACUAGGACUGAGACACGGCCCAGACUCCUACGGGAGGCAGCAGUGGGGAAUAUUGGACAAUGGGCGCAAGCCUGAUCCAGCCAUGCCGCGUGAGUGAUGAAGGCCCUAGGGUUGUAAAGCUCUUCCACCGGUGAAGAUAAUGACGGUAACCGGAGAAGAAGCCCCGGCUAACUUCGUGCCAGCCGCCGCGGUAAAAC